AGAGCGAACGCUGGCGGCAGGCUUAACACAUGCAAGUCGAGCGGGCGUAGCAAUACGUCAGCGGCAGACGGGUGAGUAACGCGUGGGAACAUACCUUUUGGUUCGGAACAACACAGGGAAACUUGUGCUAAUACCGGAUAAGCCCUUACGGGGAAAGAUUUAUCGCCGAAAGAUUGGCCCGCGUCUGAUUAGCUAGUUGGUGAGGUAACGGCUCACCAAGGCGACGAUCAGUAGCUGGUCUGAGAGGAUGAUCAGCCACAUUGGGACUGAGACACGGCCCAAACUCCUACGGGAGGCAGCAGUGGGAAUAUUGGACAAUGGGCGCAAGCCUGAUCCAGCCAUGCCGCGUGAGUGAUGAAGGCCCUAGGGUUGUAAAGCUCUUUGUGCGGAAGAUAAUGACGGUACCGCAAGAAUAAGCCCCGGCUAACGUUCGCGCCAGCAGCCGC
rnacentral:rRNA from 1 species